GACGAACGCUGGCGGCGUGCCUAAUACAUGCAAGUCGAGCGGACUUUCAAGAAGCUUGCUUUUUGAAAGUUAGCGGCGGACGGGUGAGUAACACGUGGGCAACCUGCCUGCAAGACGGGGAUAACUCCGGGAAACCGGGGCUAAUGCCGGAUAAUAUCUUCCUUCGCAUGAAGGAAGGUUGAAAGGCGGCGCAAGCUGCCGCUUGCAGAUGGGCCCGCGGCGCAUUAGCUAGUUGGUGAGGUAACGGCUCACCAAGGCGACGAUGCGUAGCCGACCUGAGAGGGUGAUCGGCCACACUGGGACUGAGACACGGCCCAGACUCCUACGGGAGGCAGCAGUAGGGAAUCUUCCGCAAUGGACGAAAGUCUGACGGAGCAACGCCGCGUGAGCGAAGAAGGUCUUCGGAUCGUAAAGCUCUGUUGUCAGGGAAGAACAAGUACCGUUCGAACAGGGCGGUACCUUGACGGUACCUGACCAGAAAGCCACGGCUAACUACGU
rnacentral:rRNA from 1 species